GCCUUCGUGGUAUAAUGGUAGCACACUUGACAAGUACUCGAAUGGUCCAGGGUUCGAGUCCUGGUGAGGGCA
rnacentral:tRNA from 1 species